rnacentral:rRNA from 1 species
UACAGAGACUGCAAGCGUUAUUCGGAUUCACUGGGCGUAAAGGGUGCGCAGGUGGCCAGGUGUGUUAGGCGUGAAAGCCCGGGGCUUAACCCCGGAAUUGCACCUAAAACUACUUGGCUAGAGCAUUGGAGAGGGGAGCAGAAUUCAUGGUGUAGCAGUGAAAUGCGUAGAUAUCAUGAGGAAUACCAGAGGCGAAGGCGGCUCCCUGGACAAUUGCUGACGCUCAGGCACGAAAGCGUGGGGAGCAAAAGGG